rnacentral:rRNA from 1 species
CAGUAGCCGCGGUAAUACGUAGGGUGCGAGCGUUAAUCGGAAUUACUGGGCGUAAAGCGUGCGCAGGUGGUUGUGUAAGACAGGUGUGAAAUCCACGGGCUUAACCUGGGAACUGCGCUUGUGACUGCACAGCUAGAGUAUGGCAGAAGGGGGUGGAAUUCCACGUGUAGCAGUGAAAUGCGUAGAGAUGUGGAGGAACGCCGAUGGCGAAGGCAGCCCCCUGGGCCAAUACUGACGCUCAUGCACGAAAGCGUGGGGAGCAAGCAGGAUUAGAUACCCGUGUAGUCCCUGUCUCUUAUAA